rnacentral:rRNA from 1 species
GGUUAAGCGACUAAGCGUACACGGUGGAUGCCCUGGCAGUCAGAGGCGAUGAAGGGCGUGCUAAUCUGCGAUAAGCGCCGGUAAGGUGAUAUGAACCGUUAUAACCGGCGAUACCCGAAUGGGGAAACCCAGUGUGAUUCGUCACACUAUCAUUAACUGAAUCCAUAGGUUAAUGAGGCGAACCGGGGGAACUGAAACAUCUAAGUACCCCGAGGAAAAGAAAUCAACCGAGAUUCCCCCAGUAGCGGCGAGCGAACGGGGAGGAGCCCAGAGCCUGAAUCAGCAUGUGUGUUAGUGGAAGCGUCUGGAAAGGCGCGCGAUACAGGGUGACAGCCCCGUACACAAAAGCGCAUGUGCUGUGAGCUCGAUGAGUAGGGCGGGACACGUGGUAUCCUGUCUGAAUAUGGGGGGACCAUCCUCCAAGGCUAAAUACUCCUGACUGACCGAUAGUGAACCAGUACCGUGAGGGAAAGGCGAAAAGAACCCCGGCGAGGGGAGUGAAAAAGAACCUGAAACCGUGUACGUACAAGCAGUGGGAGCACCCUUCGGGGUGUGACUGCGUACCUUUUGUAUAAUGGGUCAGCGACUUAUAUUCUGUAGCAAGGUUAACCGUAUAGGGGAGCCGGAGGGAAACCGAGUCUUAAUUGGGCGUUAAGUUGCAGGGUAUAGACCCGAAACCCGGUGAUCUAGCCAUGGGCAGGUUGAAGGUUGGGUAACACUAACUGGAGGACCGAACCGACUAAUGUUGAAAAAUUAGCGGAUGACCUGUGGCUGGGGGUGAAAGGCCAAUCAAACCGGGAGAUAGCUGGUUCUCCCCGAAAGCUAUUUAGGUAGCGCCUCGUGAAUUCAUCUCCGGGGGUAGAGCACUGUUUCGGCUAGGGGGCCAUCCCGGCUUACCAACCCGAUGCAAACUGCGAAUACCGGAGAAUGUUAUCACGGGAGACACACGGCGGGUGCUAACGUCCGUCGUGAAGAGGGAAACAACCCAGACCGCCAGCUAAGGUCCCAAAGUCAUGGUUAAGUGGGAAACGAUGUGGGAAGGCCCAGACAGCCAGGAUGUUGGCUUAGAAGCAGCCAUCAUUUAAAGAAAGCGUAAUAGCUCACUGGUCGAGUCGGCCUGCGCGGAAGAUGUAACGGGGCUAAACCAUGCACCGAAGCUGCGGCAGCGAACGUAUCACCCAAGACAACUUUACGGAGUUGACGAUUGACGGAGCGAAGCGACGUCAAAGCGUUCAUUAAAGUCGAGUUGGCUUAGGGAUACGUUCGUUGGGUAGGGGAGCGUUCUGUAAGCCUGUGAAGGUGUGUCGUGAGGCAUGCUGGAGGUAUCAGAAGUGCGAAUGCUGACAUAAGUAACGAUAAAGCGGGUGAAAAGCCCGCUCGCCGGAAGACCAAGGGUUCCUGUCCAACGUUAAUCGGGGCAGGGUGAGUCGACCCCUAAGGCGAGGCCGAAAGGCGUAGUCGAUGGGAAACGGGUUAAUAUUCCCGUACUUGGUGUUACUGCGAAGGGGGGACGGAGAAGGCUAUGUUGGCCGGGCGACGGUUGUCCCGGUUUAAGGGUGUAGGUGUGUGUUCCAGGUAAAUCCGGUUCACUUUAACACUGAGGCGUGACGACGAGGCACUACGGUGCUGAAGCAACAAAUGCCCUGCUUCCAGGAAAAGCCUCUAAGCAUCAGGUAACACGAAAUCGUACCCCAAACCGACACAGGUGGUCAGGUAGAGAAUACCAAGGCGCUUGAGAGAACUCGGGUGAAGGAACUAGGCAAAAUGGUGCCGUAACUUCGGGAGAAGGCACGCUGACACGUAGGUGAAGUGAUUUACUCAUGGAGCUGAAGUCAGUCGAAGAUACCAGCUGGCUGCAACUGUUUAUUAAAAACACAGCACUGUGCAAACACGAAAGUGGACGUAUACGGUGUGACGCCUGCCCGGUGCCGGAAGGUUAAUUGAUGGGGUCAGCGUAAGCGAAGCUCCUGAUCGAAGCCCCGGUAAACGGCGGCCGUAACUAUAACGGUCCUAAGGUAGCGAAAUUCCUUGUCGGGUAAGUUCCGACCUGCACGAAUGGCGUAAUGAUGGCCAGGCUGUCUCCACCCGAGACUCAGUGAAAUUGAACUCGCUGUGAAGAUGCAGUGUACCCGCGGCAAGACGGAAAGACCCCGUGAACCUUUACUAUAGCUUGACACUGAACAUUGAGCCUUGAUGUGUAGGAUAGGUGGGAGGCUUUGAAGUGUGGACGCCAGUCUGCAUGGAGCCGACCUUGAAAUACCACCCUUUAAUGUUUGAUGUUCUAACGUGGACCCGUAAUCCGGGUUGCGGACAGUGUCUGGUGGGUAGUUUGACUGGGGCGGUCUCCUCCUAAAGAGUAACGGAGGAGCACGAAGGUUGGCUAAUCCUGGUCGGACAUCAGGAGGUUAGUGCAAUGGCAUAAGCCAGCUUGACUGCGAGCGUGACGGCGCGAGCAGGUGCGAAAGCAGGUCAUAGUGAUCCGGUGGUUCUGAAUGGAAGGGCCAUCGCUCAACGGAUAAAAGGUACUCCGGGGAUAACAGGCUGAUACCGCCCAAGAGUUCAUAUCGACGGCGGUGUUUGGCACCUCGAUGUCGGCUCAUCACAUCCUGGGGCUGAAGUAGGUCCCAAGGGUAUGGCUGUUCGCCAUUUAAAGUGGUACGCGAGCUGGGUUUAGAACGUCGUGAGACAGUUCGGUCCCUAUCUGCCGUGGGCGCUGGAGAACUGAGGGGGGCUGCUCCUAGUACGAGAGGACCGGAGUGGACGCAUCACUGGUGUUCGGGUUGUCAUGCCAAUGGCACUGCCCGGUAGCUAAAUGCGGAAGAGAUAAGUGCUGAAAGCAUCUAAGCACGAAACUUGCCCCGAGAUGAGUUCUCCCUGAGACUUAGAGUCUCCUGAAGGAACGUUGAAGACGACGACGUUGAUAGGCCGGGUGUGUAAGCGCAGCGAUGCGUUGAGCUAACCGGUACUAAUGAACCGUGAGGCUUAACCUUAC